CGGAAAUGUCCGACGGUCCGACGGCUUUCGCGACCUCUGCUAGUGUAAUAAACAGUGCAUUUUUGUCUACCUUGAUAAGUCUGUGGAAACACCUAUUGCAGCGAUGUUCACAAUCAGCAUUCAUUUCGGCCUGAAAUUUAAAUGACAGUAUUGACUGGAGUUUGAAUUACUCAAAGGGAAAAAGACAAAACAGUCAAAAAAAAAAACAGUCGUCCAUCUUUCAUCCGGCAUAUAUCCAUAGGUGUUGGAUAAAAAGCGAACUUAUGGAGCCGAAAUGAAGUACUUGUGGAAAUUAUUUUUGAAGGGAAAGUUACCAAGAACCAGGCGCAACAGGAUUGUUGAAGGAUACAGAAAAUAACUUACUGUAUUACUACCACCACUUAGAUGUUUGCCGACAUCUGUCAAAAAAUGAAACAUUUCAGGAGCUCUAAAGAAUUGUGAAUUUAACUUAAUCAUAAUGCAUCUGAAUGGACAUAUAUUUGAUAUUUGUUCAGUGGUAUUCAGAUGCAGACGAUGGUGCAGAAUACUGUGAUUGUAAUGCUAAGGACUGCUUCAUGAGUAGUUGAUACAUGAGAUUAUUCCGAAUACAUUUACAGACAUAUGUCAUUUAGUGCAAACAUUUUGUAGUGAGUUACACAGGAUUAUGUCUUCCAUGAUUUAUUUGCAUUAAUAUGCAGAAGAAAAAAACUGAUCAUAAGAUGCAUAGUUUUAUUCAAAAUCAGAGACAUUUUCUUACUGUCACCAAGUUGUUACACUUGAAAUUAUUUUCAUGUUAUUUUUUUUGAAAGCAUCGUUUAUAGACAUAUCUUUGGUACUUUAAAAGACAA
rnacentral:lncRNA from 1 species